ACCUUUGUCGUGAGCUAUGGUGCGAUGCGCUCUCAGCCUGAGGCGCGCAUCCCAUCACAAGAGGGAAGUCCGGUGCGAGUCCGGCACAGUGCCCGCUACUGUAUUCCUCCAUUAGGCUGCUUGCCAUUCUUUAUUACCACUGUCGACCGAGUCGAUGGGAAGGUACGCAAGCAAGACCGGAGGUGAGUCAGGAGACCUGCCAUGGCUGUAAGAUAAUU
rnacentral:ncRNA from 2 species